UUGACCUCAAAUCAGGUAGGAUUACCCGCUGAACUUAAGCUW
rnacentral:rRNA from 1 species